CACAGGCAGUGCCAUUUUAAUAGCCUUUGCUUUGAGUUCAACUUCAGCCUUCCCAAUAAGAAUGCUUCCUUAUUUGUUUAGCUGCCAAGAACAGCUAAUACUAGCCAUAGUUAGUUCCUGUGAUCAUUCAGGAGAGCUGAAACAACAUUUAUUCAGAAAAAGUUGAUCAAUGGAAAUAACCAGGAAAGCUCCAUCAGCCAAUGCCAAUGAUCUUUUGUUCCAUUCAGCAAGAAGAUGACUAGGAAGAAAAAGUGUAAGAAGUACCUGUCUGGAAGAGAAGAACAACUACGGUCCCCACGAGCCUUUUCAAGUACUGUUAUCAUUCCUGCUCAAGGGAACAGAUAUAAGGGUGCAGGUCAUCUGACUCAUCCCUCUUCUUGUCUCACCGUGUUCCCUGUCGGAUCGGCUCGCUACUGCUGCU
ensembl:lncRNA